rnacentral:rRNA from 1 species
GAACCGUGCAAACGUUGUUCGGAAUCACUGGGCUUAAAGGGCGCGUAGGCGGGGGACCAAGUCCGGGGUGAAAUCUUUCGGCUCAACCGGAAAACUGCCUUGGAUACUGGUCUUCUGGAGGGAGGUAGGGGCAGGUGGAACUUCCGGUGGAGCGGUGAAAUGCGUUGAUAUCGGAAGGAACGCCGGUGGCGAAAGCGGCCUGCUGGACCUCUUCUGACGCUGAGGCGCGAAAGCUAGGGGAGCGAACGGGAUUAGAUACCCCGGUAGUCCUAGCCCUAAACGAUGGGUACUAGGUUGCGGACUUGACAUGGGUUCGCAGCCGAAGCAAAAGUGUUAAGUACCCCGCCUGGGGAGUAUGGUCGCAAGGCUGAA